CGAGGAAUCUCGGGCAAUGGGCGAAAGCCUGACCCAGCGACGCCGCGUGGAGGACGAAGGCCUUAGGGUUGUAAACUCCUUUUGCCGGGGAAGAAUACUGACGGUACCCGGCGAAUAAGCCACGGCUAACUACGUGCCAGCAGCCGCGGUAAUACGUAGGUGGCAAGCGUUGUCCGGAUUUACUGGGCGUAAAGCGCGCGUAGGUGGUCUGCUAAGUUCAGGGUGAAAUCUCCCGGCUCAACCGGGAGGGGUCUUUGAAUACUGGUGGACUUGAGGGCAGCAGAGGUAGGUGGAAUUCCCGGUGUAGUGGUGAAAUGCGUAGAUAUCGGGAGGAACACCAGUGGCGAAGGCGGCCUACUGGGCUGUACCUGACACUGAGGCGCGAAAGCGUGGGGAGCGAACCG
rnacentral:rRNA from 1 species